rnacentral:tRNA from 1 species
GCCUGGCUGGCUCAAUCAGUAGAGCAUGUGACUCUUAAUCUCUGGGUUGUGAGUUCAGACCCAUGUUGAGCA